CCUACGGGGCGCACCAGUGGGGAAUAUUGCACAAUGGGCGCAAGCCUGAUGCAGCCAUGCCGCGUGUAUGAAGGAGGCCUUAGGGUUGUAAAGUACUUUCAGUUGGGAGGAAGGCGUUGAUGCUAAUAUCAUCAACGAUUGACGUUUCCAACAGAAGAAGCACCGGCUAACUCCGUGCCAGCAGCCGCGGUAAUACGGAGGGUGCAAGCGUUAAUCGAAAUUACUGGGCGUAAAGCGCACGCAGGCGGUUGAUUAAGUUAGAUGUGAAAUCCCCGGGCUUAACCUGGGAAUGGCAUCUAAGACUGGUCAGCUAGAGUCUUGUAGAGGGGGGUAGAAUUCCAUGUGUAGCGGUGAAAUGCGUAGAGAUGUGGAGGAAUACCGGUGGCGAAGGCGGCCCCCUGGACAAAGACUGACGCUCAGGUGCGAAAGCGUGGGGAGCGAACAGGAUUAGAUACCCUGGUAGUC
rnacentral:rRNA from 1 species